UACGUAGGGGGCAAGCGUUGUCCGGAAUUAUUGGGCGUAAAGCGCGCGCAGGCGGCUCGAUAAGUCUGAUGUGAAAGCCCACGGCUCAACCGUGGAGGGUCAUUGGAAACUGUUGGGCUUGAGUGCAGGAGAGGAGAGUGGAAUUCCACGUGUAGCGGUGAAAUGCGUAGAGAUGUGGAGGAACACCAGUGGCGAAGGCGGCUCUCUGGCCUGCAACUGACGCUGAGGCGCGAAAGCGUGGGGAGCGAACAGG
rnacentral:misc_RNA from 1 species